rnacentral:rRNA from 1 species
UACGUAGGGGGCAAGCGUUAUCCGGAUUUACUGGGUGUAAAGGGAGCGUAGACGGCAGUGCAAGUCUGAAGUGAAAGGCGGGGGCCCAACCCCCGGACUGCUUUGGAAACUGUGCUGCUGGAGUGCGGGAGAGGCAAGUGGAAUUCCUAGUGUAGCGGUGAAAUGCGUAGAUAUUAGGAGGAACACCAGUGGCGAAGGCGGCUUGCUGGACUGUAACUGACGUUGAGGCUCGAAAGCGUGGGGAGCAAACAGG